CAGCUUCAGCUCUGCUCUUCCAGUGUUGGUUUUCAAGGACUGGAGCCAAGUUCUAUUCACCACAACUAAUGUGGAGAUACUAGUGGAAGUGAUUGAGACUAAGGAGUGCAGCAUCAUCUUGAGCAUUCAAGGAAGCUGAGUGCAUGACUCCCCAGCAUGAUGAGAGAAGAAUACACAGCAAAAUCGUAUUUUUCUUUGAGUUAUGCAGCCUCCAGGUUGAAAUUUUGAAGUCCAAGGUUGUUGCUUCUUGGGUAUUUGUGUGUAUAUGCAGUACAUGAAGCUCCCAGUCUGACUCCUGCAGCCCUUAACUUCUUCUACCCACAUGCCCCAUUCUUCCAGAACAGAAGGCAGAACAGCCUCAGUGGGAAAAACUCCCACUUGUUUAGCAAGUCUGAGAAAACUGAGACAACCUUGAUGCACCGGCUGAGCAAAAGGCCCUGAAAUGUGGUUUCUGGGGAGGACACUAUCCAGACUGAUGACCUCCAAACGACAUUUAUAAGUCUCUCAGGACUAAACAUGGGCAGAAGCAAUGCCAGAUUCACCACUUAUCAUUUUAAGAUUCUUCAAAGAAGGGAUAAAUGAUCUUUGUUAUAAUCUUUAUUUGAAGCAAUGCAGACACAUCUUCAUGUAGCUGCAACAUGGACCGACCUUCACCUUCCAGGAGUUUUGGCUUUAGAUAGAGCAAGGGAGGAGGAGAUGUGAAAGGCACUGCUGCAGUCCUGAGACUAAAUGUCCGUGUACAAUCAAGGCAAUAAACCCAGAC